CGAAACGAUGCACCCAGAUACACAUUCCCCAGACACCGGAGCUAUUCCUAUUGCUCCUGCUCCCCCAAACACCCCAAAUCCACACCAAAUAUCUGCUAUACCACAUCUGUAUAGCAGCCCUCACUGUCAUAAGCAGGAAGUGGAAACAAACAACCGCCCCAACGAUCCACCAAUGCAUUGAGGCGGUGGAAACGAACAAGGCUUAUGAAAAUGCAGCACGGAAAUCCAGACGGAGCGAACCCUU